ensembl:lncRNA
CUUGCAGGUGUGGAAAUCUCUUCCGCAGCCUAAACGAAAGUCAAAUUCAGGUGCCCGUUCAGGAAGCACGACAAUUGCAAUGACAAAGCACUAUUGGCCUAUGUACUUUUGAAUUUAGGUUUUUACCGAGGCCAGGGCUAGACACGAAAUAUCAGAUAUUUAUGUCACGUUCUUUCUUUAAGGCGAUUUAUGGGAAACGUACUAAUUGCCAGAUAGUAGCUUAUUCCAGGCUGUUAGAAAAAUGACACUUAGGCUAUCAGCGGUGGAAGCAUAUAUUUUGACAUCAGGAGUUUGGAGUGGAUCAUUCUGACUCUCACGUAAGUCUGCUGGACUACCAGAGGGAUUUGGACUCCAUGAUCAUCAUCUUCACGUGCAAGACCCCCUUUAGUUGCUCAUGGAGUGGAUGCUGGUGUGCUGCUUAUGGAUCUAUUUAGGCACUGCUGCUGCUCUUGUGAAAAAGCAAGUGCAGAUUGGGGACCAUGUCACACUUGACUGUGACAUAAAUGUGAAGAACAAUGGUCAUUAUGAGAUUGAGUGGAGAACUCUCGACCGCAUGGUGGCCAAAUCUGUCAACGGAAUCCUCACCCCAGGCUGUGGGUUUAAGGACAGAUUGUAUCUUGAUGGUGUAUCCCUCACCAUAACACACACUCAGUACGAUGAUCAUGGUCAAUAUGAAUGCUGGUAUGACGGACAUCAGAAAUCUUGGUCAUUGCAGAUAGACAUUCACAACAAUCUUACAACAACUGUUGGACAGCCUGUCUGGAUUCCCUGUUAUGAAAAACUAAAAAAGUGCAGUAAAGACGGAAGGGCAAAUGAAAUAUCUUUUGAAUGGUGGAAAGACAAAAACCCUGUGCCUGUAUUUCAGAUGGAGAAGGGUGCAAGAGUUGCAAAGGGGAGAGCAGAGGAGUCACCUGAUGUAAAACAGGGAAAUUUCUCUCUUGUCUUUCACAAGGCAUAUUUUUCUGACAGUGGGACCUACCGGUGCAGUGAGCAGGAGGAGAGUACUAUUCUUCGGAUGAAAGUUCACAAGGUGGAAGUCAACGUUUCUAUUGAGCAGUCUCUCUCCCUUCACCUUUACACAGUCGAUCCUGUUGAGGUGUAUUUCCAAAAGGAUAAUUCCAACUAUCCUGUCCGUCUUUGUGGACCUGAUCAUCAAUGCUUGCAGAACUGGGAAUACAACAACAAUACACAAACAAUUGAGUUGGAUGCUGUAAAGAGGGAACAUUUAGGGAUAUACACUGUGAAAGAUAUACAGAAAAAGUGUGUGUUCUGCAAAUACAUUUUGAUAUCUCUUCCUAACUUUGUAUCUACUGAGUCUCGUGUUGUGUACAUACGCAUAGGGUUUUGCUUGCUCUUUUUUGUUAUUGUAUGCGCCAUCAUCUGUAAAAAACUAAAAUAUUGUAAAAGUAGGGUUAAAUACAUGUCCUGUCCUGUGGGCAACAGUGGUACAGGAGGUAGAGAAGUCGUUUAGUAAUCAGAAGGUUGCUAGUUCGAUUCCUCACAGUCGAGGCGUCCUUGAGCAAGACACUUGGGGUAAAUGCUCCUUAUGUGCAGUGUGCCAUCUGUGUAGAUGUAAAAUGAAUAUACAUCCUUGUAAGAUGCUUUGGAUAAAAGCGUCUGCUAAAUAUGUAAAUGGUCAAUAAAGUGUAGAAGCAGCAUUUAUAGAUGUGGUACUGUUUCUUAGUUGUAUAUGUGUAUACUGUUUGACAGUGUGUCUGUUUUGUUCUGGUUGGGAGUUGCAGGAAAAUAUAUGUUUUGUUACAAUGUCAGUUUCAUGUUCUAUUGUGUUAUGGUUCGUGCACAUCGAGAAGUGUUUUCAUUUCAAGCUGUCAUUUUAUGAAUCUGAGCUCUGUCAAUUCGCGUGACCCGUAAACUAUAAAUAAAGACAUACUCAACUCACGACACCGUUACUCAGCAGAUUCAAGCCUAUUUCAUGUUCGCGUUAACUACAGAUACCCUACUGUAAAUGUUGAUACUUGUAGGCCUAUUUGUAGCAUUUACUCUACAUUUUGUAUUGUAUUAAACCUAUUCUUGCCCUCAUCUAAUAAUCUAACAUUUUUAUGUACAUACAUAUUUAUUUAGUCAAGAACAGUUAUACAGUAAAGCUCAUGUUGUUGCUUAUUUAUUCAUGUACAUUUCACAAAAUGUUCAAAUCUAGCAGAAUAUAUCGACUACAAGGUCACACUCUUCUAGAGGUCUCAAAACCGCAGGUGUUGUUUCACAUACUAUCAGUCUGCAGUCGCCUGUCGCCACAUCCACAAACUAUAGUUCCUGACAUUUUCACUCAGUAUAAGAUAUACAACAAAGUUUUUCGUCUAUUGUUGCCAGAAAUGUAAUCAUUCAAGAUAACACACUUUUCUUGGAACGGGAAGUGUUUUAUUUCACUUAAUUCUUGCUCACUCUCUAAUGAUGCGGUUAUAUUACGCAGUCUAUCUGUCUAGAGAAGGUUAAGCUUUCCCCAUAGCUGUAAGCCAGCGGAUGAAACAUACGCGUAGAUGAGUUUAAAGAUAUUGAUUUGCAUAUUUUCUUUUGAGUUUUAACUUUGGGUUGUAUUGUACCCGUGAAUAUUUGUAUGGGUGAAAAUCUAAUGGAUGUAAAGAGCGUGAAGAAUGGCUGUUUGGGCGGAAAUAAUCUGGAAUCUGCAAUCGUUGUUCUUCCGCAGUCUAAACGAAAGUAAAAUUCGGGAGCCCGUUCUGUCAGCACGUCAAAACAAUGAGAAAGCAGUAUUAGGCUGUGUACUUUUUAAUGUAGAUUUUUACAGAGGCCAAAGUUUGGCACGAAAGAUCGGAUAUCUACGUCACGUUAUUUCUUUAAGACAAUUUACGGGAAACAGACUAAUUGCCGGGUAGCCUACUCCAGGCUGUUAGAAAAAUGGCACUUCGGCUAUCAGCGGUGGAAGCAUGUAUUUUAAUAUCAGUGUUCUCUUCUGUAGCUGGUGAACCUCUCUUGAAGAAAGUCGUACUUGGAAGGCCAGCCUCUCUUCAUUGUGAUGGAAAAGGCAGCUUACACGAUGAGCUGGAGAUCAUGUGGAAGACCCAGUAUCAGUUGGUGGCUAAUUUCUCUAAAGGACAUCUUAACUAUGGCCUUGGGUUUGAGAAUAGAGUACGUUUUGAAAUUGUGGAUAGUGAGUUUUGGUUCACUCUUCACAUCAAUCCCACUGUUUUCAGUGACACUGAUACAUACAGUUGUUUCCAUGGAACAGACUUGAUAAGGACAUGGAAUUUGGAAGUCACUGUGUUACCCCCUAAAGAAGUAGACGUCAUUGAAAGAGGCACAGUUACUUUGCCAUGCUAUGGCCUCAACAACAGACAACUGGCUUCUGACAAAUUCAAUGUCCAGUGGAAGAAAGAUGGUAAGGUGGUGCUGAACCUAACCGAAGGAACCACACAUCAUGACCAAGAAAUUGGUUACAGAGCAAACAUCUUUCUGGAUGAGAUUCGCAAAGGAGACUUCUCUAUGGUGAUAAAAAACAUUGAAAUGACUGAUGAAGGAAACUAUGAAUGUUUCACUGAAAAGAAUCAAGGAAAGAUUUUGAACUCUGUUAAAGUCCACGUAAUUAAAGGCCUAUCCCAUGGAUAUCGUCAACGUGUGUUGCAUUACACAGGAGAUUCUUUUAUCUUUUUUGUUUCUACAGACGACGUUGAAAUCCUUCUCCUCACCGGAAAAAUAGGUGAUAAAAGAAAGGUUUGCAAAAUCAGGGGGACUGGUGCAAAGUGUGUCGAGAAUGUACGAGAACGUACUGCCGUGCACCAGGGGUAUUUAACUCUGAAAGAUUUGACUAAGAGUGAUGAAGGUACAUAUAGAGUGGAGGACCUCAUGGAGUCUACCGUGACAGAAAUUGUUCUUGAAGUGAGACGGCCUCUACCAAUAGGUAUGUUUGUGAUUGUGACUUGGUGUACUAUGGUGGUACUUCUGAUUGGGUUCAUAAGAAGAAGAAGAAGAACGCAAAAUAUAGAUUCGUGUUUCUUUGGUAAAUUUAAUUCUUAAUUUAAACUUUCCUGUGGUGAGUGAAUACCAGAACUACAUACAGUAGUAAUUGUAAUUGAAAGUGGAACAUUUUUGUACAAUUGUUUUCCAUUUUGAUCUUGCCUGUUAUAUGCCUUUACUUUAAUGUCUACCCAAGUAGUGCCCCCUGCAGGGCCAGUUACAAAAGGCCAUGUAUCCACUGUGGAGGGGCACAGGUGUAAGUCACAAUUCAAAUUGACCCUUUUUAUGGACAUUGUAUGUAGUCUUCUCUUCUUGUAACAUUGUUUAGUUUUUUUUGUCAUGUUAUAUCAGAAAUACAUUAAAAUGUAUUUGUCUAUAAUCCUACUCAGACAUUUUUUCAUUUUGACCCAAGUCACUGGUGUCAGACUAACAGAUAAAUUGUUCUUGGUUCCAAGGGGGAUAUGCCUUUUCUUUAAUGUCUCCCAUUUUGAUUUUGCCUGUUAUAUGCCGUUACUUUCAUGUCUACCCAAGUGGUGCCCCCUGCAGGGCCUGUCACUGCCAUAGUGGUAGAUUGCUAAAUAUCCUGUUAAAAGGACAUGUCUCCACUGUGGAGGGGCACAGGUGUAAGACACAAUUCAAAUUGACCCUUUUUAUGGAUAUUGUAUUGUUAUGUUGUAUCAGAAAUACAAUGUAUUUUUCUAUAAUUCUUCUCAGAUAUUUUUUAAUUAUAUCCCAAGUCACUGGAGUCAGACUAACAGAUUAAAAAAAGGAAACCCAUUACAAAGAACAUCACAUAUGAAGCUACUUUUCAAGUCAAGCAUUGAGUCACAGAUUUUCAUCAAUGUCUGCAUUGGCUGGGCUUUUGGAAAUUGUUUGGCUAAGUUACAGAUCAACAUGCCACAUUCCAAUGUAUGCCUGCAUGAUCAUGGACCAGGAAAAACUGCAUUCAUGAACUCUAAGCUCAUGGUUGUGUAAGGACAGAGAUGAAAUCAGACUAAUGAAACCCAGUCAUGAGCUAAACAAUACAGCACUUGGUAUUAUACUAUACUAUA